rnacentral:lncRNA from 1 species
UUUUUUUUUUUUUUUUUUUUGAUCCACCCAUUGUACGCAGAAGUUCCGGGGCCAGGGAUUGAACUGGCACCAGAGUAGUGACAAAAUGUGGGCUCCUUAACAUGCUGCGCCACCAGGGUACUCCAAAACAGGCCUUUUUAUAAAGGAAAAAUAUGCGCCUGAAGGUAAAAUUCUUCACUCAAACCUCACAGGAAAUCGGUCAUUAUUUCAAAGUAAAAAGUUAAACAAGCUGAAACUUGCUUUAUUUCUGUAUUUUCAUUUUAUUGUACCCUAUAAGUGCACUUUACUUUGUUGCCAAUAUAUCCACAUAUCUCAGGGACUUUCUGUUUGGAGUUGUGUGCCCCUUCCGAAAACCAGUCCAUUAAUUGUGUUUGCCAGAGCAACCUCAUUCUGUCAGCUCGGGUAAUUUAUUUCACAUAGGGCUGAAAAUUAAGAGAAGUCAAGUGGGGGGAAAAAAAAAACGGACUGAAACGACAAAAAUUAGUAUUAUUUUAAAAAAGCUAGGCAGGAGUUCCCAUCGUGGCUCAGAGGUUAACAAAUCCGACUAGGAACCAUGAAGUUGCGGGUUCGAUCCCUGGCCUUGCUCAGUGGGUUAAGGAUCCGGCAUUGCCGUGAGCUGUGGUGUAGAUUGCAGACGCAGCUCAGAUCCUGCAUUGCUGUGGGUCUGGCGUAGGCCAGUGGCUGCAACUCCGAUUAGACCCCUAGCCUGGGAACUUCCAUGUGCCGUGGGAACAGCCCAAGAAAUGGCAAAAAGACAAAAAAAAAAAAAAAAAAAAAGAAAAAAAGAAAAAGCUAGGCAAAAGUUAUAUGCAAUCACUAAAUGAAAAAAUCAAUAUCACUUUUAUGUCUUUUUCUUAUUACAAUGUAAAUUUUACACCAUCAAAACAGAAAAAUUUGGAGUUCCUGUCAUGACUUAGUGGUAACGAACACGGCUAGUAUCCAUGAGGGCUUGGGUUCAAUCCCUGGCCUUGCUCAGUGGGUUGAGGACCCAGCAUUGCCAUGAGCUGCGGUUUGGGUCACAGACACAGCUUGGAUCCCACGUUGCUACGGCUGGGUGUUGGCCAGCAGCUACGGCUCCAGUUCGAACCCUAGCCUGGGAACUUCCACAGGCCACAGAUGCAGCCUUAAAAAAAAAAAGACCAAAAAAAAAAAAAAUUUCCCAGCAACUUCCAAAAGCAAACAAUCACUUCUGUAUUACUUUGCAUUCUGUUUUUAGAAGUUUUAUUCCCCCCCCCCCUUUUUUUUUUGGCCAUGCCUACAGCAUGUGGAAGUUCCUGGGCCAGGGAUGGAACUCACACCACAGCAGGGAUCCAAGCCACUGCAGUGUCAACACUGGAUCCUUAACCCACUGUGCCACAAGGUAACUCCCUUCCCUACUGUUUUUUAAAAGGAUAAAACUAAAAAUCUAUACAUACUCAGAUUCCAACAGAUAUGCCACAGAAGACAAAGGAAUCUUUCUGAUCUGAACACUGACAUAAAUAACUCAAAACUUUCAUAGGAAUUGGAAAUCCUAUCAGUAAAUUCUUUUUUUUUAAUUAUUAUUCAUUUAGUUUUAUAGUCUUGGGUUUUUUGUUUGUUUGUUUGUUUGUUUAUUUGUUUUGUCUUUUUCCUAUUUCUUGGGCUGCUCCAGCAGCAUAUGGAGGUGUUCCCUGAUGGCCUAGUGGGUUAAGGAUCUGGUGUCGUCACUGCUGUGGUGUGGGUCUGUGAUCCCUGGCCCGUGAAUUUCUCCGUGCCACAGUGUGACCACAAAAAAAAAGGAAAAAAAAGUUUUUUAAAUAAAAAUAAUUUUAAAACAAAAAAUGAAAACAAACAAAAAAAUUCUACAAAAACUCCAAAUAUUGAAAGGGAGGAAAUAUUUCCUAACACAUUCUAUAAUGUCAGCAUUAUCCUUCCUAACCAGGCCAGCAGACUUAAAAGAAAAUUACAGGCUAUAUAUAUCUCUUAUGUAAACAAAUGUAAUAAUUUCAGUAAAUCAAACCCAAUACUAUAUUAAAAGACAAUAUACUGUGACCUAAUGGGGUUUAUGUCAGGAAUGCAAGGCUGGCUUAACAUUUAAAAAUCCACCAAUGAAGUUUCCACUGUGGCGCAGUGGUAAUGAACCCGACUAGUACCCAUGAGAAUGCAAGUUUGAUUCCUGGUCCCACUCAGUGGGUUAAGGAUCCACAGCCCAUUGCCACGAUCUGCGGUGUAGGUCGCAGACCCUGCUCUGUCCCCAAGUUGCUAUGCCUGUGGCGUAGGCAGGCAGCCAGAGCUCCAAUUUGACCCCUAGCCUGGGAACUUCCAUAUGCCGUAGGUUCGGCCCUAAAAAGACAAAAACAAAACAAACAACCUUUAUCAUCUCAAUACAUGAAUAAAAAGCAUUUGACAAAAUACAGCAUCCAUUCCUGUCAAAACUCUCAGCAAACUAGGAAAAGAAGGGAAUUUCCUCAACUUGAUAAAGAGCACCUAUACCGAACCCAGAGUUAGCAUCGCAUUUAACAGCAAAAGUCUGAAUGCUUUCCUUUAAGAUGAGGAACAAGGCAAUAAUGCCCACUCUCAACAUCUCUAUAUAACACUGCACUGGCAUGCCCAGCCCUGCAAUAAAACAAAGAAAACAAAAAACAAAUGGAAUUUGCAUUUAACUUUUAGAAAGCCAAAAAUCAAACUAUUUUUAUUCACAGAUAUGUGAUCAUCCAUACAAAAGAAUCUAAUAUAAUCAACAAAAAAGCUACUAGAAUUACUGAGUUGAACAAGGUUUUUAGGAUAAAUGAUCAAUAUUGAGAAGUCAGUUGUAUUUUAAUGCACUGGCAACAAGCCAUCAGAAAGUGAAAAUUAUAGGAGUUCCCGUGGUCCAGUGGGUAACGAAUCUGACUAGGAACUGUGAGGUUUUGGGUUCGGUCCCUGGCCUUGCUCAGUGGGUUAAGGAUCCGGCGUUGCCAUGAGCUGUGGUGUAGGUUGCAGACUCGGCUUGGAUCCUGCGUUGCUGUGGCUGUGGCGUAGACUGGCGGCUACAGCUUCGAUUCUCCUAUUAGACCCCUAGCCUGGGAACCUCCAUAUGCGGCUGGAGCGGCUCAAGAAAAGGCAAAAAGACAAAAAAAAAAAAAAAAAGAAAUUGAAAAUUAUAAAGCAAAAUACUUUUACAAUAGCAUCAAAAAAUAUAAAAAAUUUAGGGCUAAAUCUGACAAAAGAUGCAUAGGCCUGUAUACCAAAAAUUACAAAAUAUUGCCAAGAAACAUUAGAGAUUUAUUUAACUAGAGAGAGAUCCUGUUCAUGGAUCACAAGACCCAAUAAUGUUACGAUGUGAAUUCUCUUCUAAUUAAUCGGGAGAUUCAGGUCAGGGCAAUCCUAAAUCAAAAUCCCAGCAAGUUUUUGCUUUGGUUUUAUUUUUUUAAGAAAUUGACAAGUUGAUACUAAAAUUCAAAUGGAAAUGCACAGGACCUAGCAUUGCCAAAUCAACUAUACAAAAGAAGAACAAAGCUGCAGGUCUUAAUACCACCUGGCUUGCAGGCUUAGUAUAAAGCUACAGUAAUUAAACAGCAUAAUACUGGAAUCAAGACAGACAAAUAGAUCAGGAACAGAACAAACAUCUAGGAAAAAGCCCACAUAUAUAAAGUCCAUUGAUUUCUGACAAAGGUACAAAGGAAUUUAGCAAAAAAGGACAUUCCUUUCAACAGUGUCAGGUCAACUAGAUAUGGACAAGCAACAAAGUAUGAACAUAAAUCCAUAUCUCACAUCACAUAUAAAAAAUUAACUCAAAAUACUGCUGAGCCACGACAGGAACUCCAAAUAUUUUUUUAAUUUAACAUCAAGAGUGCAAUACAUAACAGAAAAAGUGAGAAACUGGAUUUCAAAAUUAGGAACUUCUACUUCAAAUACAAUGCUAAGAAAAUGAAAGAAAAGACAGACUAGGAGAAAAUUCUUGCGAAUCACAUACCUAACAAAGAACUUGUACCCAAAAUAUAUAAAGAACUCUUAAACUCUCCAACAAUCUCAAACUCUCAAAAAAUCCAAUUAAAAACAUGGUCAAAAAGACCUCAACAAGCACUUCACCAAACAAAUUAUUUGGAUAGCAAACUGCAUACAUGGAAGGAUGCUCAACAUCAUGAGUCAUUGGAAAAAUGAAAAUUAAAGCCAUGAUCAUAUCCCAGUGCACACCUGUUAGAAUGGCUAAAAUUAAGCAGACUGACCCUCGCCAGCCCGGGCAAGGAUGGGGAACAACUGUGACCCUCACACACUGCUGGUGGAAGGGUGAGAUGGCACACUCCUCUGGAAGAGUUUCGGUUAUGCAAAGGCACAACUACCGCGUGGUCUGCCCAUGGCACCUCUGGAUGUUUAUCCAAGAGAAAGCAAGUCGUAUGUCCACACAAAGAGUACUACAUAGAUGCUCACAGUUAUCUUUAUUUUGAACAGCCAAGGAAUAGAAACAAAGCCCAAAUGCUCAUCAUCCGGUCAAAGGAUUAAAAAAAAGUUAAUAUAGCUAUGCAAUGGAGUGCUAUUCAGCAAUAAAAAGGAAUGAACUAUCGAUACAGGCAACAACAUGAAUCAAUCUCAAAAUAACUAUCCUGGGAGUUCCCGUUGUGGCGCAGUGGAAACGAAUCCCACUAGUAUCCAUGGGGAUGCGGGUUCAAUCCCUGGCCUUAUUCAGUGGAUCCAGCAUUGCCAUGAACUAUGGUGUAGGUCAAAGACACAGCUGGGAUCCUGCGUUGCUGUGGCUGUGGUGAAGACCCGCAGCUAUAGCUCUGAUUCGACCCCUGGGCUGGGAACUUCCACGUGUCGCAGGUACAGCCCUAAAAGCAAAAAGAAAAAAAAAAAGAAUGAUCUUGGAUGAAAGAAACCAGACAAAAACAGUACCCACUAUAUGAGUCCACUUGUACGAAAACCUAGAAAAUGCCAAUUAAUCUUUCAGUGACAGAAAGCUAAGGGGUGGCUGCGCGGGUGUGGAGACGGGAGGACAGAAGCACAGGAGGGAAGGCUCCCAGGAACGAAACUCUCGAAUGUGAUGGAUGCACUCCUCACCUUGGCUGUGAUCAUGGUUUCACAGACGCAAACACACAUUAAACAAACUGCACACUUUAAACAUGUACAAUCUGUUGUAUGUCAAUUACACGACAAUAAAGCAUUAUCCUUAAAACAUGUACGUUGCGUAAAAAUGACGAAAGCGAAACAAUUUUUUAAACAACCCCAAACUCUAAGGCUCACAUCCAAGUCCAAACACACCGUGAACUCCUGAAGAAUUACUCUGCCUUUUGAUUUUCCUUCUGAUUUUGGCAGGGGGGUGGGGUUCCUUUUCUUCUACUGUGCUCAGCUCUGGUUCUUUGCAGUUUUUCAAGUGUAUCUCACGCAGCAUUUCUCUGCAUCUGGACCAGGAGGACGGCUCUUCAGCAUGAGGUGGUCUACCACAUUGCUAGAAGCUCUCUGUUCACACCUGUACCCGGGCAUUCUGAGUCCCCUCCCUACAGUCCGCAUUUCAAC